CACAGGGAUGAUGUGAAGCUCACCUGCCAGGUGGAGCAUGACGGGCAGCCAGCGGUCAGCAAAAGCCAUGACCUGAAGGUCUCAGCCCACCCGAAGGAGCAGGGCUCAAAUACUGCUCCUGGCCCAGCACUGGCUUCUGCUGCUCCACUUCUCAUAGCUUUCCUCCUGGGCCCCAAGGUGCUGCUGGUGGUUGGUGUCUCUGUCAUCUAUGUCUACUGGAAGCAGAAGGCCUGACUGACAUCUUCCUGCCCACAGGCUCCUGUUGCUCCUUUGCAGAGUCCUUGAUUCUCCAGAGCAGUCUUCAUUCAUGGUCCUGAGCAGAGGCCAUGGGAUGGGGCUCUGGGGAGUGACUCAUGACACCUCCCUAGGAUGUGGGAAACACGCCAAAUCUAAACACAUCAGGACACCUCUCCUCCAUCGUCUUGGACUCUCCGUAAGCCACAAACUGCAGUCCAGAUUCUCAAGAGUUAUUCUGCCUUCUGGAUUCCUGCCUACCCAAUUACCCAGCCUUGUUGAGAUUCUCUAUUGCCUCCUGAAUACAAAUUAACACUCAUCCUGGUUUUAAGGAGAAAAAUGAUUAUCCUUCCUCUUUGUUUAUACGUAUGAUAUAAUUUGGAUAUUUUUUCCCUACAAAUCUCAAUGUGAAAUUUCAUCCCCUAUGUUGGAGGUGGGGUCAGGUGGGAGGUGUUUGGGUCAUGGGGAUGGAUUCAUCAUGAAUGACUUGGUGUUAUCUUGGUCUAUUAGCACCCACAAGAUCUGAUUGUUUAAAAGUGCCUAGCAGCUCCCUCUUCUCUUUUUCUCUUCCUCUCUCCCCAUGUUAUGCCAACUCCACUUCACUGUCCACUGUGAGCAGAAGCACUCUGAGGCCCUCAGCAGCAGAUGCAAGUACCAUGCUUCUUGUACAGUCUGCAGAACCAAAAGCCAAAUAAACCUCUCUUUAUAAAUUA
rnacentral:lncRNA from 1 species